CCCUUCCAUGUUUCGCUUGCAUCAGUUAAAUGGAAUGCUUCUUGUUUUCAUUCUCUUGUGGGCUGCUUGCACAUAUGUCUUCAAUGUGGCAUUCAAUAACAAUUUAUGGAAGGAUAUGGAGAUUUGGGAAACCAUAGGCCUGUGGCAUCACCCUAUGCCAGGAUUGUAUCUGCUUGCUCAAUUUGGUCUUGGUGUUCUUAUUGCAAUCUGUAAUCUUGUGAACAAUUCAGUAUUAUUGUCUGUAAUU